rnacentral:rRNA from 1 species
UACGAAGGUGUCGAACGUUGUCCGGAAUUACUGGGCGUAAAGGGUGCGUAGGCGGCUAGGUAAGUCAGAUGUGAAAGCUCUGGGCUCAACCCAGGAAUUGCAUUUGAAACUGCUUAGCUUGAGUUCGGUAGAGGAGGGCGGAAUUCCUGGUGUAGCGGUGAAAUGCGUAGAUAUCAGGAGGAACACCUGUGGCGAAGGCGGCUCUCUGGUCCGAAACUGACGCUGAGGCACGAAAGCGUGGGUAGCAAACAGG